AACACUGUUAACCUGCGGUACCUGCGGAGGGAUCAUUAAAGAGUUUAACUACUCAAACCAUUGUGAACCUUACCUCAACCGUUGCUUCGGCGGGCGGGCCCGGGCCAAGCCCGGCGCCCCCCCGGCCCCUCGCGGGCGCCCGCCGGAGGUUAACCGAACCCUUGAAUUGUAUGGCCUCUCUGAGUCUUCUGUACUGAAUAAGUCAAAACUUUUAACAAUGGAUCUCAGAUCGGAAGAGCA
rnacentral:misc_RNA from 1 species